AUGAAUACGAAGCAUUCAUCUUUCCCAAAGAACCUCUGUCAAUCUGAAAGUGUUGGGUCAUGUGUAUACAGUAGCUCGCGGAUUGUACCACUUUAUCAUUGCGAGACAAAGUUGUUCUUCGUAGGGCAACCACUGAGAAGAAUUAUGGAAAGAAAUUUUGGGAUUGUCACAAUUACAAGGGCUUCUUGCAAAGAGGAUUUGACUUCUCUCAUUGGUGUCACGAGGAAUUGGCAGUGGAAUUGA